UACAGAGGGUGCAAGCGUUAAUCGGAAUUACUGGGCUUAAAGGGCACGUAGGCGGCUUGGUAAGUCAGGGGUGAAAGCCCAGGGCUUAACGUUGGAACUGCCUUUGAUACUGCCAAGCUCGAAAGUGGUUGAGGUAAGCGGAAUUUCGAGUGUAGCGGUGAAAUGCAUAGAUAUGCGAUAGAACACCAAUUGCGAAGGCGGCUGGCUGGGCCUACUUUGACGCUGAGGCGCGAAAGCGUGGGGAGCAAACAGG
rnacentral:rRNA from 1 species